GCUGAAUAUUCAAGUAUAGUGGAGCAACUACUUACCCACAACAAAUAUCAUCCGAUACUCAAAUCAGAAAGUUCCCCGCUGAAUUUCAAAUUAUAAAUGAUUUGGAUAAUGAUUCUGUAGUCCUAUUCAAAGCUGGCAUAGACAAGUACUGAUCUGCAUUAAUAUCACGGUACAGAAAUCAGCGAACCAAAAACGUAUAAUGCAGCACUGAUUUGAAUAAUUCUUUUGGAAUAUUAAAGAGAAAUUGGAUAAGAAGGAAAACGAGCACACUGGAUAGGAUACCGGUGGUGAACGUGGGAGG